UUCAGACAACCAAUGGUCAAUUGUUCUUCCAACGCAAACAAGAGAAUGGAACAUUAAAGAUGGUGAUUUACAUGAUAUACCUCUCGGAGAAGAACUUGUCACAUUCACCGCAAUAGAAGAUAAUGACGAAGUUGAUGAUGAUUGUAUUUGUUUCCGUGAAAAUGGUGAAGGAUUGUGGGUUGAUGAUAAUGGGUCUUGAGAUGGAGGCUGAUCCUUUUGGUGGUAGUUCUGAUGAGGGAGAGCAACGCCCUAAUUCUCAGUCAGUGGAGCAAGAAAAUAAAUCUGUGAGAGGACGUACAUGGAUGUCUAGAAACACCAAAAAAAGGAGUGAAGGACAUCUUACUCUUGUUGAAUACAAUGAGUAUGGUCAACUAGUGGGUGGAUCUAGAAGUAAUGUUUCAUCAUAGCUUGGAUCAGUUGUUCGAGCAACUGUGUCCAUCAACAUUAACAGUUGGAAAGAUGUUAGUGUGGUGGAUAAAAAUAAAAUAUGGGACACAAUGAAGAAAACUUAUGAUUUGGACCCCAAACAAAAGCAACAGAUGUUGAAGGAUGCGGGAAAGUACUUCCGAAAUUGGAAGACUAAUCUUACUAGGGUACACAUUUACGACGCUUUGAAAAAAUACCCAAAUGAGUUCCCGCCAGCUUUGCCAUUUGGAUUUGAGAAUGUCAUAACUCCGGAUGAAUGGUUAGCGUUUGUGAACUCAAGAUUAACUCCCGAGUGGCAAAGAAAGAGAGAGGAGAUGCAAAAUUAUCGAGCACUGAAUAAAUACAAUCACAACCUCUCUAGAGGAGGCUAUGUGCGUAUUGAAGAGAUGUUAAUGGAACAAAGUGGGAAAAGUCUGACUGAACUUGAUAGGGCAGAUUUAUGGAGCAUGGGUCGUCGGAAUGCAAAAUGAGAGCUAAUUGGAGAGGCCUCUGAGAUUCAAAAAAAUAUUGAUCAUUACCGGCAACUCCAAGCUGAGGGUAAAUGGGCACCUGAUGGCCCUGAUGAUGUGCUGACGAGGGCGUUGGGCACUCCUGAGCCUCGAGGACGUGUUAGGGCUGGAGGACACGGUGUGUCCCGCUCAGUAUAUUGGAAUACUCCAACACCUACCUCAACGAAAAAUAAAUCAAAAGCCUCUUCUUCGAAUGACGACAUUAGAAAGGAAUUUGAAGAAAGAUUUCGAAAACAAGAAGAAGAGCAUCGUCAACAAGCACAACGC